rnacentral:rRNA from 1 species
AACGAACGCUGGCGGCAGGCUUAGCGCAUGCAAGUCGAACGCCCCGCAAGGGGAGUGGCAGACGGGUGAGUAACGCGUGGGAACAUACCCUUUUCUACGGAAUAGCUCUGGGAAACUGGAAAUAAUACCGUAUGUGCCCUACGGGGGAAAGAUUUAUCGGCAAAGGAUCGGCCCGCGUUGGAUUAGCUAGUUGGUGGGGUAAUGGCCUACCAAGGCGACGAUCCAUAGCUGGUCUGAGAGGAUGAUCAGCCACAUUGGGACUGAGACACGGCCCAAACUCCUACGGGAGGCAGCAGUGGGGAAUAUUGGACAAUGGGCGCAAGCCUGAUCCAGCCAUGCCGCGUGAGUGAUGAAGGCCUUAGGGUUGUAAAGCUCUUUCACCGGAGAAGAUAAUGACGGUAUCCGGAGAAGAAGCCCCGGCUAACUUCGUGCCAGCCGCCGCAGUAA